UACGAAGGGGGCUAGCGUUGUUCGGAAUUACUGGGCGUAAAGCGCAUGUAGGCGGAUAUUUAAGUCAGGGGUGAAAUCCCGCAGCUCAACUGCGGAACUGCCUUUGAUACUGGGUAUCUUGAGUAUGGAAGAGGUAAGUGGAAUUCCGAGUGUAGAGGUGAAAUUCGUAGAUAUUCGGAGGAACACCAGUGGCGAAGGCGGCUUACUGGUCCAUUACUGACGCUGAGGUGCGAAAGCGUGGGGAGCAAACAGG
rnacentral:rRNA from 1 species